rnacentral:rRNA from 1 species
UACGUAGGGGGCAAGCGUUGUCCGGAUUUAUUGGGCGUAAAGAGCGUGUAGGCGGCCAUACAGGUCCGUUGUGAAAACUGGAGGCUUAACCUCCAGACGUCGAUGGAAACCGUAUGGCUAGAGUCCGGAAGAGGAGAGUGGAAUUCCUGGUGUAGCGGUGAAAGUGCGCAGAUAUCAGGAAGAACACCCGUGGCGAAGGCGGCUCUCUGGGACGGUACUGACGCUGAGACGCGAAAGCGUGGGGAGCGAACAGG